CUUUUCCCUGUUAACUUCACAUCCAUUUCUUCCACCUGGGGAAAACUUGGAGACCCACGGGAAAGAAACAGAAGUGAGAAGAAGGGCCUCCCAG
rnacentral:miRNA from 1 species